GACGAACGCUGGCGGCGUGCUUAACACAUGCAAGUCGAACGGAAAGGCCCUGCUUUUGUGGGGUGCUCGAGUGGCGAACGGGUGAGUAACACGUGAGUAACCUGCCCUUGACUUUGGGAUAACUUCAGGAAACUGGGGCUAAUACCGGAUAGGAGCUCCUGCUGCAUGGUGGGGGUUGGAAAGUUUCGGCGGUUGGGGGUGGACUCGCGGCUUAUCAGCUUGUUGGUGGGGUAGUGGCUUACCAAGGCUUUGACGGGUAGCCGGCCUGAGAGGGUGACCGGCCACAUUGGGACUGAGAGACGGCCCAGACUCCUACGGGAGGCAGCAGUGGGGAAUAUUGCACAAUGGGCGGAAGCCUGAUGCAGCAACGCCGCGUGCGGGAUGACGGCCUUCGGGUUGUAAACCGCUUUCGCCUGUGACGAAGCGUGAGUGACGGUAAUGGGUAAAGAAGCACCGGCUAACUACGUG
rnacentral:rRNA from 1 species